GGUAUAACUCAGUUGGUAGAGUGCUUGUCUCCCAUGCACAAGGCCCUGGGUUCAAUCCCCAGCACC
rnacentral:tRNA from 1 species